rnacentral:rRNA from 1 species
GCGGCAACAGCUCAAAUUUGAAAUCUGGCUUCGGCCCGAGUUGUAAUUUGCAGAGGAAGCUUUAGGCGCGGCACCUUCUGAGUCCCCUGGAACGGGGCGCCAUAGAGGGUGAGAGCCCCGUAUAGUUGGAUGCCUAGCCUGUGUAAAGCUCCUUCGACGAGUCGAGUAGUUUGGGAAUGCUGCUCAAAAUGGGAGGUAAAUUUCUUCUAAAGCUAAAUACCGGCCAGAGACCGAUAGCGCACAAGUAGAGUGAUCGAAAGAUGAAAAGCACUUUGAAAAGAGGGUUAAAUAGCACGUGAAAUUGUUGAAAGGGAAGCGCUUGUGACCAGACUUGCGCCGGGCGGAUCAUCCGGUGUUCUCACCGGUGCACUCCGCCCGGCUCAGGCCAGCAUCGGUUCUCGCGGGGGGAUAAAGGUCCUGGGAACGUAGCUCCUCCGGGAGUGUUAUAGCCCGGGGCGUAAUGCCCUCGCGGGGACCGAGGUUCGCGCAUCUGCAAGGAUGCUGGCGUAAUGGUCAUCAGCGACCCGUCUUGAAACACGGACCAAGGAGUCAAGGUUUUGCGCGAGUGUUUGGGUGUAAAACCCGCACGCGUAAUGAAAGUGAACGUAGGUGAGAGCUUCGGCGCAUCAUCGACCGAUCCUGAUGUUUUCGGAUGGAUUUGAGUAGGAGCGUUAAGCCUUGGACCCGAAAGAUGGUGAACUAUGCUUGGAUAGGGUGAAGCCAGAGGAAACUCUGGUGGAGGCUCGCAGCGGUUCUGACGUGCAAAUCGAUCGUCAAAUCUGAGCAUGGGGGCGAAAGACUAAUCGAACCAUCUAGUAGCUGGUUACCGCCGAAGUUUCCCUCAGGAUAGCAGUGUUGUCUUCAGUUUUAUGAGGUAAAGCGAAUGAUUAGGGACUCGGGGGCGCUUUUUAGCCUUCAUCCAUUCUCAAACUUUAAAUAUGUAAGAAGCCCUUGUUACUUAAUUGAACGUGGGCAUUCGAAUGUACCAACACUAGUGGGCCAUUUUUGGUAAGCAGAACUGGCGAUGCGGGAUGAACCGAACGCGGGGUUAAGGUGCCGGAGUGGACGCUCAUCAGACACCACAAAAGGCGUUAGUACAUCUUGACAGCAGGACGGUGGCCAUGGAAGUCGGAAUCCGCUAAGGACUGUGUAACAACUCACCUGCCGAAUGUACUAGCCCUGAAAAUGGAUGGCGCUCAAGCGUCCCACCCAUACCCCGCCCUCAGGGUAGAAACGAUGCCCUGAGGAGUAGGCGGCCGUGGAG